rnacentral:rRNA from 1 species
CUUCCCUUGAGCGGGGACAACGUUUCGAAAGGAACGCUAAUACCGCAUAAGUUUCCAGGAACUCUGGUUUCUGGAAGGAAAGCUAGGUCGCAAGAUCCGGCACUCGAGGAGGAGCCUGCGUCGCAUCAGCUAGUUGGUGGGGUAAUGGCCUACCAAGGCGAAGACGCGUAGCUGGUCUGAGAGGAUGAUCAGCCACACUGGGACUGAGACACGGCCCAG